rnacentral:rRNA from 1 species
UACGAAGGGUGCAAGCGUUGCUCGGAAUUAUUGGGCGUAAAGGGUAGGUAGGUGGUAAUAAAAAGUCUGGGGGUGAAAUCCCCUGAGCUCAACUCAGGACGUGCCUUGGAAACUUUAUUACUAGAGUGCUGGAGAGGUCCGCAGAAUUCCCGGUGUAGCGGUGAAAUGCGUAGAGAUCGGGAGGAAUACCAGUGGCGAAGGCGCCACUCUGGGCCGUAACUGACGCUGAGAAGCGAAAGCAUGGGGAGCGAACAGG